AAAUGUAGAGUGCAUUCCGCCGAAAGGUGGAUUUCCUUCGGGACUCUUUACAAGGUGCUGCAUGGUUGUCGUCAGCUCGUGCCGUGAGGUGUCGGGUUAAGUCCCAUAACGAGCGCAACCCUUAUCGUUAGUUGCCAGCGGGUAAUGCCGGGAACUCUAACGAAACUGCCGGUGUAAACCGUGAGGAAGGUGGGGAUGACGUCAAAUCAGCACGGCCCUUAUGUCCAGGGCUACACACGUGUUACAAUGGCCGGUACAGAGGGCAGCUACCUGGAGACAGGAUGCGAAUCUCGAAAGCCGGUCUCAGUUCGGAUCGGAGUCUGCAACUCGACUCCGUGAAGCUGGAUUCGCUAGUAAUCGCGCAUCAGCCAUGGCGCGGUGAAUACGUUCCCGGGCCUU
rnacentral:rRNA from 1 species